GACGAACGCUGGCGGCGUGCUUAACACAUGCAAGUCGAACGGAAAGGCCCUGCUUUUGUGGGGUGCUCGAGUGGCGAAAGGGUGAGUAAAACGUGAGUAACCUGCCCUUGCCUUUUGGAUAACUUCAGGAAACUGGGGCUAAUACCGGAUAGGAGCUCCUGCUGCAUGGUGGGGGUUGGAAGGUUUCGGCGGUUGGGGAUGGACUCGCGGCGUAUCCGAUUGUUGGUGGGGUGGUGGGUUACCCAGGCUUUGACGGGUAGCCGGCCGGAGAGGGUGAGCGGCCACAUCGGGACUGAGAUCCGGCCCAGACUGCUACGGGAGGCAGCAGUGGGGAAGAUUGCACAAGGGGCGGAAGCCGGAUGUAGCAACGCCGCGUGCUGGAUGACGGCCUUCGGGUUGUAAACCGUUUUCGCCUGUGACGAAGCGGUAGUGACGGUAAUGGGUAAAGAAGCACCGGCUAACUACGUG
rnacentral:rRNA from 1 species